CGUCUGCGGUUAUACGAGGGGCUCAAGUUGAUAGUCACCGGCGUAAAGAGUGGUUAGGAGCCCCAACACUAAAGCCGAACAUCUUCAGGGCUGUCAUACGCACCCGAAGAUAUGAAGAACCCCUACGAAAGUGGCUUUAAAAUUUCUGACCCCACGAAAGCUAGGAAACAAACUGGGAUUAGAUACCCCACUAUGCCUAGCCCUAAACAAAAGUAGCAACCUCACACCUGCUGCUCGCCCGGGAACUACGAGCAUAAGCUUAAAACCCAAAGGACUUGGCGGUGCUUUAGACCCACCUAGAGGAGCCUGUUCUAGAACCGAUAACCCCCGUUCAACCUCACCCUCCCUUGCUUAACCCGCCUAUAUACCGCCGUCGUCAGCUUACCCUGUAAAGGACACACAGUAAGCAAAAUUGGCAUAGCCCAAAACGUCAGGUCGAGGUGUAGCGUAUGAGAGGGGAAGAAAUGGGCUACAUUUACUGGCACAGUACAUACGAACGAUGAAUUGAAACAGACAUCUGAAGGAGGAUUUAGCAGUAAGGAGGUAAAGCAGAGCGUUCCCCUGAAACUGGCCCUGAAGCGCGCACACACCGCCCGUCACUCUCCCCGAGCUUACACCCAGCCCAUAAAUAAAACACAAUAACUGCAGAGGGGAGGCAAGUCGUAA
rnacentral:rRNA from 1 species